rnacentral:lncRNA from 1 species
AUAGUAUUCACACUUGCUUCCAUCGAAGAUUUCUUGAACUCAGUCUCACGAAUCAUAUAAAACUUCACCUUUUCCAUCAAGGUCGAUAGAUUUUAUUUAGGUACAUCCUACUCCAAAUAGUAAAUCUGAACCCACUGAAGCCAACAUACAUCGUAAGAACCCAAUUGGUUAAGAGUCUAAGUUUAGGUACAGUUAAACUCAAUAGCCUCACUACGAAUAGCCAAUGCACUACAGGUCAAAGGAUAACUCACACCACUC